rnacentral:misc_RNA from 1 species
UCCCUAAACGGGCAGUCCGGCCAGACACUAGGUAACUUACCGUAGGGGUUGCGCUCGUUGCGCCACUUAAGGCAACACCUCACGGCACGAGCUGACGACAGCCAUGCACCACCUGUGCAGGCUCCGAAGAGCGCCCGCUUUCACGGGUUUCACCCUGCAUGUCAAACCCAGGUAAGGUUCUUCGCGUCGCAUCGAAUUGAGCCGCAUGCUCCGCCGCUUGUGCGGGGCCCCGUCAAUUCCUUUGAGUUUUAGCCUUGCGGCCGUACUCCCCAGGCGGGGUGCUUAAUGCGUUAGCUUCGGCACGGACGGGGUCGAUAUCCGCCCACACCUAGCACCCAACGUUUACGGCUAGGACUAC